AUCUAGGGAGGAAAACAUCGAGAUUUAGUUUCCGUGUGGAUGAGUCUUAUGGAACAACCUCGUGUAGGUGAAGAUGAAGCUAGACCCAGACUGGAGCAGAAAUUCAAGCUGAGAGUAUCUGGAACCAUAGAAGUAACCAUAGAGUAAGGAGCCAUACGUGGUCAAGGGCUGACACUUUACCCCACGGAAGCUGAAGCAGGUGGAGACAAAGCUGUAUCAUUCAAUCUUAGACCCUUUGUUAAGAAAUGCCUACUUCUUGAAUGGAACUAAAUAUUGCCUUUGACAAGAUCCUGGUUACCACAAGACUCUUCUAAUUAACCCAGAAUAAUCAUGCCAUCUCACAGCAUCUCACGGUCGUGUCGUGUCAUCUCACAGAAGGGACAGUGGGAAUGAAGAACAGCUGCUCUCAUUGAGAAUGUAUCUAGUGGGUGGCCAACAUACAGUUCAUCCAUUCCCGUCCAGAGGAUAAGCACUUUGCAAGCUUGCUUGGAGAGGUCUGACAGUCAAGCUGGUAGAAAAGGGUGUCUCAGUUCAUCCGGGUCACCCAAGAGUGGAACAAUUGUGAGUCGCAUGCUUCUGGGGAAAAAAAAAAAACACUUCCCUUACACAUUAUCAAAGUAGCCCAUCUUCAUGUUAUGUAAUAAAAAUUUUAGGGGAGUCUGUAAGCAUUCAUUUUUCCAUUGUAACUUUAGGAUUUUUUUUUUACUAGCAAUGGGCUCAUUUUCAAUAAACGGUGAAAUAAAUACUCUCUAAAUUGGGGUGAAAACAGCACAUAACUGGAUUCCUUCCUACUACUUGCGACUGGGUUCAUUUCCCACUUCAGUACAGUGUAUGCAUAAACAAUGAUAUAAGGGCAGUAUCUUGUAUUUUGGGACUGGAAUGUUUUGAUGAUAGCAGUCCACUGAGCCCCGGAGUGGA
rnacentral:sRNA from 1 species